rnacentral:tRNA from 1 species
GGCUUUAUAUUCAAUAAUGAAUGAUAUUAGAUUGCAAAUCUAAAGGAGUGGAAAAAUUAAAUCUGCUAAGGCUU